rnacentral:rRNA from 1 species
GCCCUAGUAACGGCGAGUGAAGCGGCAACAGCUCAAAUUUGAAAUCUGGCGCAAGCCCGAGUUGUAAUUUGUAGAGGAUGCUUCUAGGUAGCGACCGGUCUAAGUUCCUUGGAACAGGACGUCAUAGAGGGUGAGAAUCCCGUAUGUGACUGGCCCGCACCUUCUACGUAGCUCCUUCGACGAGUCGAGUUGUUUGGGAAUGCAGCUCUAAAUGGGAGGUAAAUUUCUUCUAAAGCUAAAUACCGGCCAGAGACCGAUAGCGCACAAGUAGAGUGAUCGAAAGAUGAAAAGCACUUUGGAAAGAGAGUUAAAAAGCACGUGAAAUUGUUGAAAGGGAAGCGCUCACAACCAGACUUCUAGGCAGUGUUCCGCCGGUCUUUUGACCGGUCUACUCUCUGUCUCGAGGCCAACAUCAUCUGGGACCGCCGGAUAAGACCUUAGGAAUGUAGCUCCCCUCGGGGAGUGUUAUAGCCUCUGGUGAUGCGGCGCGUCUCGGGUGAGGUCCGCGCUUCGGCAAGGAUGUUGGCGUAAUGGUUGUCAGCGGCCCGUCUUGAAACACGGACCAAGGAGUCUAACAUCUAUGCGAGUGUUCGGGUGUCAAACCCCUACGCGUAAUGAAAGUGAACGGAGGUGGGAAGCGUAAGCUGCACCAUCGACCGAUCCUGAUGUCCUCGGAUGGAUUUGAGUAAGAGCAUAGCUGUUGGGACCCGAAAGAUGGUGAACUAUGCCUGAAUAGGGUGAAGCCAGAGGAAACUCUGGUGGAGGCUCGCAGCGGUUCUGACGUGCAAAUCGAUCGUCAAAUUUGGGUAUAGGGGCGAAA